UACGGAGGUGGCAAGCGUUGUCCGGAAUUAUUGGGCGUAAAGCGCGCGCAGGCGGUUCUUUAAGUCUGAUGUGAAAGCCCACGGCUCAACCGUGGAGGGUCAUUGGAAACUGGGGAACUUGAGUGCAGAACAGGAAAGUGGAAUUCCAUGUGUAGCGGUCAAAUGCGUAGAGAUGUGGAGGAACACCAGUGGCGAAGGCGACUUCCUGGACUGUAACUGACGCUGAGGCGCGAAAGCGUGGGGAGCAAACAGG
rnacentral:misc_RNA from 1 species